rnacentral:rRNA from 1 species
AGCAGCCGCGGUAAUUCCAGCUCCAAUAGCGUAUAUUAAAGUUGUUGCAGUUAAAAAGCUCGUAGUUGAAUUUCGGGAUCAAUAUAUUGGUCGUGCCUCUGGUAUGUACUGGUAUCGUUGAUUUCUACCUUCUGACGAACCAUGAUGUCAUUAAUUUGGUGUCAUGGGAAAUCAGGACUGUUACUUUGAAAAAAUUAGAGUGUUUAAAGCAGGCAUACGCUUGAAUACAUUAGCAUGGAAUAAUGAAAUAGGACGUUUGAUCCUAUUUUGUUGGUUUCUAGGAUUGACGUAAUGAUUAAUAGGGAUAGUUGGGGGCAUUAGUAUUCAAUUGUCAGAGGUGAAAUUCUUGGAUUUAUUGAAGACUAACUACUGCGAAAGCAUUUGCCAAGGAUGUUUUCAUUAAUCAAGAACGAAAGUUAGGGGAUCGAAGACGAUCAGAUACCGUCGUAGUCUUAACCAUAAACUAUGCCGACUAGGGAUCGGAUGAUGUUAAUUUUUUAAUGAU